AAAAAUUUCGACUGUGUUUAAUGCAUUUCCUUUUAAGGAUUAACUGUUCUGCUUACAUUGCAUAUUAACACGUCAUGAAAUCAGCCACAUUACUACUAACUUUGUUUACUAGUACAACAAGAUAUAGACUGAUGUUUGAUGUGGGAUUUUUUUUGUGAGGUGAUUAACACUAACAGUAGGUACGACAGCAUAGUAAAUAUCAGAUAAAUUUUAUUUUUCAUCGGCCUAUUGCCACUUGGUCACGUCUUCCCAUAAAAUCUUAGUCUCCCCAUCAUUAGUUAUUGCGUUCAAUCUCGUGCAAAUUUUAGUAAUAACUAUUUAAAUAUUCCGAUAUAUGUAAAGUCAUUUCACUAGUUCAUAAAGUAUAUAUAAUGUACAAGUAUUUUAGAAGUAAUUAUUAGGCGAGUAGAUAUGUCCAUACAAAGUUUGAUAAAUUACAUAAUUUAACGCGAAUUUAUUAAAUACGGAAUCUUUUCUAUAAGAAAAGAAUUUUUCAUUCCAAACUUUUAAAAUUACCUUAACGGACCGAAACUAGCAUAAAAAAAUUUUUGAAAAAAAUUUAAGAACCUAAUAGAACACGUCAUAUCCAAUAAUCGAAUUCUGCGCUUGGUCAAAUCUCCCCAUGUUCCCCUAAUUGAAAUUUUUUUGACCACGAAAGUUUGAUUUCCGUGCUACAGAUGGCUGCAUUUUAAAUAUUUUUAUAGCACGUCAAAGUCAAAACUUUGAACCCAAAAAUGUAUAAUUUCUAGAAAACCUCGAUAUAUGCAGAUUAAGAUGAAUUCGUUUUACAAAGUAUCGUAGGAAAACAUUGAAUAUCCACUUUCCGCAAAUCAUGUCUUUACUGCCCCUACAUGCAGAAUAUUGAUAUUCGACUUAGCGCCCUGAUCACCAAUUUUCAUUUCAUUAUGUAUAUGCUUUGUGAUGUCCUGAGAGAAAACAAAAACACAUCGACAUAGAGAGAGAAUAAUGCAGGCAAAUAUAAAGCUAGGUACAUCGAGAUAGGGAGAUAUCGAGAUAGAGAAAAUAUCGACAUAGAGGAGUUUUUAUACGUGCGAUCUGAAGGGACCCACGAAAUAAUGGAGAUAGAGAAAAAUAUCGACAUAGAGAAUAUCGACAUAGAGAGAGUUAACUGUACCGAAAUACAGUUUUGCCACCAAAAAAUUAUUACAAACUUCUUUGUACUCUCAGCGAGUAAGAAAAUCUGUUAGUUUACACUGUAUGUCUGAUAAUUUGUUCGAAGAUUCACUGUAAUGCGGUUUUCUCGUUAUGUACUUAUAAGCUAGACGAAACGCAAUCUGGACUUCAACGUGCUUAACAAUACUAAUGACCGAUUUCUUCAUCCUCGCUUAACGUUUUAGCCAGGUUUAAACGUACUGGUAAACCUGGUUUAAAAGUUAAGCGAGGGUGAAGAAAUCGACCUGAAACCGCAAAUCUGGAAAAAUAAGGAUAUCGAUCGUGAACCGACAAACGGGCCUAUAUAACAAAUGUACACAAACGGAGAUUUGAGUAAUAUCUUAAAGAGGAGUAAAAAUACUUCAUAAUAAAUAUAAAAACUCAUUUAUAAAUGUUCCACACUUCAUGAGAAUCAAUAAAAAACAAAACGGCGGAUCCGACUUUCAACUGUAAACAAGCCGCCAUGCGGAUUACGCCUCUGCAUUUCUAAGGUAGUGUGUACGGGCGAAAUUGACAGCAUCAUAUUACAAAGCCCGUAAACAGAGUCGCCCUAAACAAAAACCAACUGAUUGAUACGCCCGGGGGGAAUAACAAAUUUUCCCCUCCGGCGAGCACGGUGAAACCCACAUUUGGUUUUUGUUUUCUGGCGACACUGCAGGGCGAAAUUGUGAGUGGUCAAAAUAAGAGGGCGACUCAAAAAUGGCCUAAUCAACAUUUCAUAACAACAUUCGGCGAAAUAUAUUUUUUUCAAUUUUAUCAACGAAAACGUUAUUAUAUAAAAUAUUUUAGUAAUGCUUCCGAAAACUAGUAUUGUUUUGAAGUGUUUCAAUACAUUUGAAAGCGCAGUAUGCAAACACUGUUAAAAUACAAUUUAAUUUUCUGAAGCGAAUUAUCAAAGCUAUUUUUCUCGAUUCGAUAUUAUUGCGUCUUCGGCCCUUUGGUCGGUUCAUGAUCGAUAUGUCUGGAAUGUUGGCAGCACUGGUUUUAAUUGUUUUUGUUUUGUGUUCAGAGAUUCCAGAUUUGCAGAUAAGUCUGCAAAUUCGCAUACUUUUAAUUUAAGCUGCAGAUUUUUUCGAUGACGCAGAUAUUUGCAGAUUUUCUAGUCUGGUUGCAGAUAUUUGCAGAUUUUUUACUUUUGUUGCAGAUAUUUGAAUAUAAAGACAUUUGAAAAAAAUACCUGGCAUCUCUGUUUGUGUUCUUUGAUCACACUUGACUGUAUUAUCAAAGUUCCAGGAAAGAUUUUGAUAAUAUUUCGAUUCCGGAUGAUUGGCUUUACCGCGAAGGACAUUUUCUCCCAGGUAUUCUACUGUAGAACCUACUGUAGUGUGGCAAAAGGACCAUGUACUCGAGAGUCGAUUCGAGAUUUAUGCGACACGUUUGCAGUACUUAUCCGGGGUCAGGAGGAUGUCCAAAUGUGCAAUAAAUAAUAUACAGUGCAGCAGCAAUCAUGCGUACCACAUUCUUCGGUUUAUGGCCGGGCAAGUCCACACCCAAUCAAUGUGGGGUAAAACGUUUAAGAACCGAUUACAAUACUGAAUUUUAUCGAUUGGCGGCGAAAUUAUUGAAUUUUGAGAUAAGUAUUUAUUAAUUUUAUCAUAAUGUAGAUAAUUUUUUUGUUUAUUUUUUUAGGAAUAAUGUAUGUGGCGAUAUUAGCAAUGGCUUACUUCAACAGACAUGUGUUACUAAUAUUUGUGGAAUUGCAUCGUGCAGUCAUGAUUCCAACAAACUUCGCAGCGGAUUUUAAUGUGACGACCCAUCCCGAACAGCUGAAAUGAAAUGCUUUUUUCUAAAGAGUUACUAUUCUAUGAAAUCAUAUUUCAUAGAUGCCUAAGUGAUAAUAGCAACGAAUUAUUGAUCUUUAGUUGUAGUACACUACCUUUCUUCACAUAACUGUCCUAUAGGGGAAUACUAGAAGUAGCAGUAGAAUCAGAAGAAUAGUCUAUUGUUUUAUAGCAUCACCGCAAAUAAUAAAAUUCGACUUAUGGAUAGACAAUUAGUUAAAGAUAAUUUAAAUUUGAUUAGUUGCUACACACAGAAAAAAUGUUGGUAAAAGUAAGAGUUUGUCGCUCUUAACAAAAAACAAUCAACAUGAGAUUAUGCUUGAAAAGAAACAUAUUUUGAUUACUAUUCUUCUAUAGCUUAAAAGGGACACUUUUAUUGUUAUUAUUUUCAUUGAUUAAUUUAAAAAUUUUACUUUUAACUUGGUUGUUUUUGCUACCUUUAGGCGUUGGUUGAUUUUUUUUUUCUAAGAGCGCACAUUCUUACUUUUACCAAUAUUUUUUUCUGUAUGUAUAAACUUACCAAUUUUUACUAGGGUAUGACAGAAGCGGUAUAAUUAUCACAAAGUUUGUAUCUCUAUGAAGAUAUAAUCGAUCACAAUAAGGAAAUCAAACAAGAAUUUAAGUUGUAGAAAACUUAUUGCAUUAUAAGUAAUGCAAUAGACACCAAGUAUUUCUAUAUCUGAUGCACCACUGUAGCAGAAAAUAACAAACUGAUAUACUGAAUUGACAAUUAUUGUAGUAUGAUGAAUAAUAGGCUCACAUGAAAUUGGUGAGAAGUUAGCAUAAUUUUAAUCAACUGAGACUAUACAAUUUAGAGUAUGAAGAAAAUAAUUCAAUACUUGCGUAGAUAUACUGCUGGAUAGGGACCCCAAAACUUACCAAGCAAAACGAACAGUUUAUGAAAGACCACGCGUGUAAGUUUGGUUUGAAUGUUUAUAUUUAAUUUAUAGAACCUAUCAUGCGUAACAUGAAUCAGUGUAAUGUAAAGGAUAUCAAUCGGCAAUGCAAAAAUCUAUUAGACUUAUUCGUAUACCUUAACAGUAACCCGCUCGAAUUCUCAAAUCUGUAUCGUUAUAAGUUUUCAUUCAAUUAAAGAUCAGCAAUAAAAAAAAUUAAAAAAUGUUGUUUAUAAACCGAAAGCUUGAAUCCCAACAAAGUAAAAUUCAACAGAAAAAAUGCUAAUUUCAAAAACGAAACUUGGUUGAUAUCAACAAAAAAAAUUUCUGAAUUUAUCAAAGAUUUUUGUUAAUUCAACCAGUUAUAGUAGUUAAAUCAACAAAAUGGGUUGCUGAUUUCAGCAGAAAAAGUAGUUGAAUGUUAGAGGGUUGUGUCUACGCUAAAGUUUUAAGUCGCAAAAUUAACUAAAAAUCAGUAAUUUCAACCGACAAUUUGGUUUAAUUUAAGGGAUUCGAAAAUAACAAAUCCAAAUCAGCAGUAUCAGAUAUUUUUUAGUUGUCUCAAAUAAUAACUAACUAAAAACAGAAAAUCAACUAAGAUUUUGGCUGCUGAGCCCAAUUUUCGUUCUCAGUGUGCCAGGUAUACUCGAACAUAGGGGCUAUAGCUAGUUUAAAGCCGACUGAGCGGCAGCGAAAUCGAACAAUACACCAGAAAUCGAUGUGUCCUUGGCCUCAGAUAUGCGGCCAAGCCUCGUCACUCUAGCUCGGCUGCAUAUGCUCACU